GUGAGGAAUAUUGGACAAUGGCCGAGAGGCUGAUCCAGCCAUGCCGCGUGCGGGAAGACGGCCCUAUGGGUUGUAAACCGCUUUUGUUGGAGAGCAAUAAGAGUUACGUGUAACUUGAUGAGAGUAUCCAGCGAAUAAGCAUCGGCUAACUCCGUGCCAGCAGCCGCGGUAAUACGGAGGAUGCAAGCGUUAUCCGGAUUUAUUGGGUUUAAAGGGUGCGUAGGCGGAUGAUUAAGCGUGAGGUGAAAUGCCACAGCUCAACUGUGGAACUGCCUCGCGAACUGGUUGUCUGGAAUGCCCCUGCCGUGGGAGGAAUGUGUGGUGUAGCGGUGAAAUGCAUAGAGAUCACACAGAACACCGAUUGCGAAGGCAUCUCACGAAGGGGUGAUUGACGCUGAGGCACGAAAGCGUGGGGAUCAAACAGG
rnacentral:rRNA from 1 species